GUGAAUCAUCAAAUUUUUGAACGCAAAUUGCACUUUCUGGUAUUCCGGAAAGUAUGCCUGUUUGAGGGGGAGUUAAAUAAAAAUCGGUGUUGUUGAUGCUUUUCGUGGUGACGCGUCGGAAUUGAGUUGUCUUACCUAUGGUUAAGUGACUUAAAAUUUUGCAUGAUUUUCGAAUGUAUUUAAAUUUCUUACGUACGUUUGAGAUAUCGAAUACUUUAUUAGGUUAGGUCAUCGUCAUGAUUCGACGAUAUAAUUGUUCAU
rnacentral:misc_RNA from 1 species